rnacentral:rRNA from 1 species
AGAGUUUGAUCCUGGCUCAGAUUGAACGCUGGCGGAAUGCUUUACACAUGCAAGUCGAACGGCAGCACGGGAGCUUGCUCCUGGUGGCGAGUGGCGAACGGGUGAGUAAUACCUAGGAACAUGUCCAGUAGUGGGGGAUAACGCAGCGAAAGCUGUGCUAAUACCGCAUACGCCCUACGGGGGAAAGCGGGGGAUUCGCAAGAACCUCGCGUUAUUGGAGUGGCCUAGGCCUGAUUAGCUAGUUGGUGAGGUAAAGGCUCACCAAGGCGACGAUCAGUAGCCGGUCUGAGAGGAUGAUCAGCCACACUGGAACUGAGACACGGUCCAGACUCCUACGGGAGGCAGCAGUGGGGAAUUUUGGACAAUGGGGGAAACCCUGAUCCAGCCAUUCCGCGUGAGUGAAGAAGGCCUUCGGGUUGUAAAGCUCUUUCAGGAGGGAAGAAACGGUUGCAGCUAAUACCUGCGACUAAUGACGGUACCUUCAGAAGAAGCACCGGCUAACUACGUGCCAGCAGCCGCGGUAAUAC